rnacentral:rRNA from 1 species
UACAGAGGGGGCAAGCGUUGUUCGGAAUUACUGGGCGUAAAGGGCGCGUAGGCGGCCUGUUAAGUCGAACGUGAAAUCCCUGGGCUCAACCCAGGAACUGCGUCCGAUACUGGCAGGCUUGAAUUCGGGAGAGGGAUGCGGAAUUCCAGGUGUAGCGGUGAAAUGCGUAGAUAUCAGGAGGAACACCGGUGGCGAAGGCGGGUCUCUGGGCCGAUACUGACGCUGAGGAGCGAAAGCGUGGGGAGCGAACAGG